rnacentral:rRNA from 1 species
UGAAAAAGAACCUGAAACCGUGUACGUACAAGCAGUGGGAGCACCCUGUGUGACUGCGUACCUUUUGUAUAAUGGGUCAGCGACUUAUAUUCUGUAGCAAGGUUAACCGAAUAGGGGAGCCGGAGGGAAACCGAGUCUUAAUUGGGCGUUAAGUUGCAGGGUAUAGACCCGAAACCCGGUGAUCUAGCCAUGGGCAGGUUGAAGGUUGGGUAACACUAACUGGAGGACCGAACCGACUAAUGUUGAAAAA